CCAAGAUGGCGACGACACACUCCCUUUACAGGGAUCCCCUGGGGAAACAGCCCUCCCAGUCACUCAAGCUAUCCUCCAGACAUGUCUCGACGAUAUGUCAGAGAAAUUACUGCACAACUUUAACAAAUCCAUCUCAGAUCUACGAAAAGACGUCCAGGAAUUGGGAGACCGGACUGCCCAUAUGGAAAACCGCAUGGGCGAAUACGCGGAGGCACACAACGAUAUGGCCGACCAUGUUCAGCACCUGGAACAAGAACUAGCAGCAUGCCAAACCAAACUUAUGGACCUGGAGGAUAGGUCUAGGAGGCACAACAUACGUUUCAGAGGUAUACCUGAAGCCGUUAAACAAACGGACAUAGUAGCACACCUCACAGAUCUAUUUAAAACUCUGGCUCCGGAUCUCCCGGCGGACGUCCUCCUCAUUGACAGAGCCCACAGAGUUAUGAAGCCUAAAUUCCUCCCAGAAGAAGCCCCCAGGGACAUACUUGCCUGUCUCCACUACUAUCACGCAAAGGAAGCGCUAAUGCAGGCAUCCAGGAGGCGGAAGGACCUCCCGACCCCGUAUAACACCAUCCAACUCUACUCCGACCUCUCAGCGAGAACCCUGCAGAAG